UUGUUUUUUUUUUUUCAAUUUUUGUGUGAAAAUCUUAAUGUGGUUCACAGAAUACAUCUACUUACCAAGUUUCAACAGUACUUAUAGUUCUUAUAGUUUCGGAAAAAAGUGGCUGUGACACAGACAGACAGACAGACAGACACGACGAAUCUAUAAGGGUUCCGUUUUUUGCCAUUUGGCUACGGAACCCUAAAAAGGCCCCUGUGGCAAGGUCCCCAAGAUGCUGGCUGCGUUACCCCGCUGAACUGCCAGACUAAAGCGUUGAGCGAGGUAACUGCCAGCUCUCGGGUCCCCAGUUGCGUCCCUGAG